GCAAAGGCUCUUUUCAGAGCCAUCACAAGCUGUGAGGACGUGGAGG
rfam:Tetraodon nigroviridis, WGS project CAAE01000000 data, contig: CNS0BW0Q, chromosome: undetermined